UUACCAUAGAACAGGUAGGAAAGGACAGCACAUUACCAUAGAACAGGUAGGAAAGGACAGCACAUUACCAUAGAACAGGUAGGAAAGGACAGCACAUUACCAUAGAACAGGUAGGAAAGGACAGCACAUUACCAUAGAACAGGUAGGAAAGGACAGCACAUUACCAUAGAACAGGUAGGAAAGGACAGCACAUUACCAUAGAACAGGUAGGAAAGGACAGCACAUUACCAUAGAACAGGUAGGAAAGGACAGCACAUUACCAUAGAACAGGUAGGAAAGGACAGCACAUUACCAUAGAACAGGUAGGAAAGGACAGCACAUUACCAUAGAACAGGUAGGAAAGGACAGCACAUUACCAUAGAACAGGUAGGAAAGGACAGCACAUUACCAUAGAACAGGUGAGACAGUACAUUACUAUAGAACAGGUGAGACAGUACAUUACUAUAGAACAGGUGAGACAGUACAUUACUAUAGAACACGUGGGACAGGGCAGGACAGCACAUUACUAUAGAACAGAUGGGACAGGACAGCACAUUACCAUAGAACAGGUGAGACAGUACAUUACUAUAGAACACGUGGGACAGGGCAGGACAGCACAUUACUAUAGAACAGAUGGGACAGGACAGCACAUUACUAUAGAACAGGUGGGACAGGACAGCACAUUACUAUAGAACAGGUGG